UGUAUGGGGCUGGAAUUGCA
rnacentral:misc_RNA from 1 species